rnacentral:rRNA from 1 species
ACGAACGCUGGCGGCGUGCUUAACACAUGCCAGUCGCACGGAAAGGCCCUGCUUUUGUGGGGUGCUCGAGUGGCGAACGGGUGAGUAACACGUGAGUAACCUGCCCUUGACUUUGGGAUAACUUCAGGAAACUGAGGCUAAUACCGGAUAGGAGCUCCUGCUGCAUGGUGGGGGUUGGAAAGUUUCGGCGGUUGGGGAUGGACUCGCGGCUUAUCAGCUUGUUGGUGGGGUAGUGGCUUACCAAGGCUUUGACGGGUAGCCGGCCUGAGAGGGUGGCCGGCCACAUUGGGACUGAGAUACGGCCCAGACUCCUACGGGAGGCAGCAGUGGGGAAUAUUGCACAAUGGGCGGAAGCCUGAUGCAGCAACGCCGCGUGCGGGAUGACGGCCUUCGGGUUGUAAACCGCUUUCGCCUGUGACGAAGCGUGAGUGACGGUAAUGGGUAAAGAAGCACCGGCUAACUACGUG